rnacentral:sRNA from 22 species
GUCAAAGACCUCGGCCUAAAGGCCGAGGCUUGAAUAAGCCUCUAGUUGACUAGCCUCAGGCCGUCGUUUGGCGGACUACGUUGGUCGGGAAUCUAUAUAUAGGCACCGCGGGAUGCAGAUCCUAGUCUCUAUAGGCCCCGCGGGAUGCAGAUCCUAGUCUCGCGCUCUGCG